AUAUGGUUAAGAACCCUAACAUUAUAAAAUCCCACAUCCAUGGACGACUAUAACCUUGUACUUUCCUUCUAUUGACAACUGAUUUGAUCGACCUCCAACUCUGAUGUAAAAGAGAAUCAGAGGAAUCUCGAAGAGCCAUGCUAUUACUCGCUAUUUACAAUAAUAAUCUCUCCAUCAAGGAAAUUAACCUUUUUUUACUUCACAGCUGAUACAUAUAUUUUAUUCAUAGGAUAAUUAUACUAUUUGAGCACACUCCACUCUUGAUCCUUGUCUCCAACUACUACUCCUUUAGAUCAAAUAUUCCUCUGAAUAGGCUGCACUCCACUUUUUAGUCGAGGCUUGUGAUAAAUUCUAGCAUAUUAACUCCUUCAUGGCUUCAUGUCGUAACACUUAUCAUUUUUUGAUCAAUGAAAAACUUCAUUCAUUCAUCAAGUGAGCGUUUAUAUUACAUCAAUAUACUCAAAAGUUUGAGAAAUUAAAAAAUACAAAGAGUUUAAUAGCUCAAUCUAGAGGGUGAAAUUUUACCAACAUUGCAUCCAUAGAUCAUAUUCAGCUAGGAUAUGUUUGUUUAGAACAGUAAUAAGCACAAACUACUUUAUUUCUAAAGAUGAGGGAAGAACAAUCAAAUGUAAUAUAGUCACUUGUUUAUGAGGAGAACACCAUGGUAUUUAAUUGGCAACACACCUUCAGAUAAUUCCAAUUUAGAGAAAAUAGUGUUCCUUUAAUUUUUGGAUCUGAGAGAUUUCGCUUUUUAGGAGGCGUUAGGCUUGACUUUUCCUUUAAUUUUUUAGUUUGUUUACUACUAUGUUGGUUAUCGGUUUAAAAUUAUGGAAUUUGUGUUAAUCUUUUUCUUUAGAAUCUAAUAUGUUUUUAAAAUAAAAUGAAUUGAUGUAAGACUUUAAUUUCGGCAUCUGCGUAUUAACUGCUAAGACAUCCUUUUCUCUUAUUUGGGGACGAUGAAGCUUGACGAACUACUAUUUAUAUGUCAAUUUGUAAUGAAUAUUAUUUGAAUUUUCUUUUGUUUUGUUAAUUGUUCUUCUGGACAUAAGCAACAAAUAGCUUUCAAAUCAUGAUCUGGCUCAAGUUUUAUACUUUUUGAUCUCUUGAACUAUGUGAAUAGUUCAUUUGCAUAGUUUCUUCUGCUUGCUCAGUGCUGAAACUUGGAGGGUAACUUUCAUUCUUCUGAUGUAUUAGAUAUAAUUGAAUUCGCAAAUAAUUUAACGUUACUUCUUGUUUCACAUCAAUGUCUAAUUUUUAUAGGCUAAUCUAUUCUGAUGAUUCAUGUUAAUGUAAACUUUCAGAUAUGCAUUACGUGGAGUACUUCAGCUAGCUUAGAGCAAGUUCUGCCCUGGAUGUUUUACCACAAGGUUCUUAGAGUGAUAAACUUCUUUCUGUUUGUAGAAGGAAAGGCUGCAAAACCCGAUCUUUCAACAGUUCUAGAAUCUAUUCCUGGGGUAAAAGUGAUCUACAGAACUAGAGAACUCGAGGAUAAACAUGCUAAGAGAUAUGCAUUACGUGGAGUACUUCAGCUAGCUUAGAGCAAGUUCUGCCCUGGAUGUUUUACCACAAGGUUCUUAGAGUGAUAAACUUCUUUCUGUUUGUAGAAGGAAAGGCUGCAAAACCCGAUCUUUCAACAGUUCUAGAAUCUAUUCCUGGGGUAAAAGUGAUCUACAGAACUAGAGAACUCGAGGAUAAACAUGCUAAGAGAAUGCUGGCAUGGAUUGGAUCAUCCAUCUAGAUACUGAUGAAUUGAUGCAUCUAGUUGGGGCUCUAGAAUAUUCUUUAAGGAGGUUGCUUGCAGAUGUACCUAGCAAUGUUGACAUGGUUAUCUUUCC